GCUGGGCAAGGGAUCUGAACGGACCCUCCCGGUGCUCGACGUCGGUCGGCCGUGUGCACUUUCCGCGGGCAGAGCGCCACGACCGGUUCUCGGGCGGUCAGAAGGCGGCGAGGAAGGUAGGUGGGCGCUUCGGCGCUCACUGUUAUAGCCUCGCCUGUCCCGAUCCGCCUGGGGACCGAGGAGCCGCCGUGGGUGUAGGCCGCCUCGCUCUCCCGAGAGGUUCGACUGGUAGAGACUGGGCAACCGUGUCUGCCGACCGCUUCUUUGGAUGGAUGGGGUGGGCCCGCUCACACAGGGUCAGUGGCGAAUCGGUCGGCCCUCCACCCGACCCGUCUUGAAACACGGACCAAGGAGUCUAACAUGCGCGCGAGUCGUUGGGUAGUACGAAACCCGAAGGCGAAGUGAAAGCGAGGGCCGUCUCUGACGUGCUCAGGUGGGAUCCCGGUUCCUCUACGGGCUGGGCGCACCACCGGCCCGUCUCGUCCGCGUUGUCGGUGAGGCGGAGCA
rnacentral:rRNA from 1 species